UACGGGGGCAGCAAGCGUUGUUCGGAUUUACUGGGCGUAAAGGGCGCGUAGGCGGUCAGCACAAGUCAGUUGUGAAAUCUCCGGGCUUAACUCGGAAAGGUCAACUGAUACUGUGCGACUAGAGUGCAGAAGGGGCAACUGGAAUUCUUGGUGUAGCGGUGAAAUGCGUAGAUAUCAAGAGGAACACCUGCGGCGAAGGCGGGUUGCUGGGCUGACACUGACGCUGAAGCGCGAAAGCCAGGGGAGCGAACGGG
rnacentral:rRNA from 1 species